rnacentral:rRNA from 1 species
GACGAACGCUGGCGGCGUGCUUAACACAUGCAAGUCGAACGGAAAGGCCCUGCUCUUGUGGGGUUCUCGAGUGGCGAACGGGUGAGUAACACGUGAGUAACCUGCCCUUGACUUUGUGAUAACUUCAGGAGACUGGGGCUAAUAUCGGAUAGGAGCUCCUGCUGCAUGUUGGGGGUUGGAAAGUUUCGGCUGUAGGGGAUGGACUCGCUGGUUAUCAGCUUGUUGGUGUGGUAGUGGCUUACCAAGGUUUUGACGGAUAGCCGGCCUGAGAGGGUGAACGGCGACCAUGGGCCUGAGGUACGGCCCAGUCGCCUACGGGAGGCAGCAGUGGGGAACAUUGCACAGUGGGCGGAAGCCUGAGGCAGCAACGCCGCGUGCGGGAUGACGGCUUUCGGGGUGUAAACCGCUUUCGCAGGUGCCGAAGCGGGAGUGACGGUAAUGGGUAAGAAAGCACCGGCUAACUACGUG